rnacentral:rRNA from 1 species
UAGGGAAUCUUCGGCAAUGGGGGCAACCCUGACCGAGCAACGCCGCGUGAGUGAAGAAGGUUUUCGGAUCGUAAAGCUCUGUUGUAAGAGAAGAACGUGUGUGAGAGUGGAAAGUUCACACAGUGACGGUAACUUACCAGAAAGGGACGGCUAACUACGUGCCAGCAGCCGCGGUAAUACGUAGGUCCCGAGCGUUGUCCGGAUUUAUUGGGCGUAAAGCGAGCGCAGGCGGUUUAAUAAGUCUGAAGUUAAAGGCAGUGGCUUAACCAUUGUUCGCUUUGGAAACUGUUAAACUUGAGUGCAGAAGGGGAGAGUGGAAUUCCAUGUGUAGCGGUGAAAUGCGUAGAUAUAUGGGGGAACACCGGUGGCGAAAGCGGCUCUCUGGUCUGUAGCUGACGCUGAGGCUCGAAAGCGUGGGGAGCAAACAGG